UAGGGAAUCUUCCGCAAUGGACGCAAGUCUGACGGAGCAACGCCGCGUGAGUGAAGAAGGAUUUCGGUUCGUAAAACUCUGUUGUUAGAGAAGAACAGCGCAUAGAGUAACUGUUAUGCGUGUGACGGUAUCUACCCAGAAAGCCACGGCUAACUACGUGCCAGCAGCCGCGGUAAUACGUAGGUGGCAAGCGUUGUCCGGAUUUAUUGGGCGUAAAGCGAGCGCAGGCGGUCAAUUAAGUCUGAUUUGAAAGCCCCCGGCUCAACCGGGGAGGGUCAUUGGAAACUGGUUGACUUGAGUGCAGAAGAGGAGAGUGGAAUUCCAUGUGUAGCGGUGAAAUGCGUAGAUAUAUGGAGGAACACAAGUGGCGAAGGCGACUCUCUGGACUGUAACUGACGCUGAGGCUCGAAAGCGUGGGUAGCAAACAGG
rnacentral:rRNA from 1 species